CCUACGGGGGGCAGCAGUGAGGAAUAUUGGUCAAUGGACGAGAGUCUGAACCAGCCAAGUAGCGUGAAGGAUGACUACCCUAUGGGUUGUAAACUUCUUUUAUAUGGGAAUAAAAUGUUCCACGUGUGGGAUUUUGUAUGUACCAUAUGAAUAAGGAUCGGCUAACUCCGUGCCAGCAGCCGCGGUAAUACGGAGGAUCCGAGCGUUAUCCGGAUUUAUUGGGUUUAAAGGGAGCGUAGGUGGAUUGUUAAGUCAGUUGUGAAAGUUUGCGGCUCAACCGUAAAAUUGCAGUUGAAACUGGCAGUCUUGAGUACAGUAGAGGUGGGCGGAAUUCGUGGUGGAGCGGUGAAAUGCUUAGAUAUCACGAAGAACUCCGAUUGCGAAGGCAGUUCACUGGACUGCAACUGACACUGAGGCUCGAAAGUGUGGGUAUCAAACAGGAUUAGAUACCCGAGUAGUC
rnacentral:rRNA from 1 species